rnacentral:rRNA from 1 species
CACCGCCCGUCACAUCACGAAAGCCAGUUGUACUAGAAGCCGGCAAUUCAACCGCAAGGUGAUAGCCGUCCAAGGUAUGACUGGUGAUUGGGGUG